AAAUGUCAGUUGCACGAAAAUACCAAGGUGCACAUUAACAUCCAAAACCAUUGCCUUCUAAAAUCUACACACUGUUCCUGGUGCUAGAUGAUUAGGAAAAAAUCAUAGUUGCAACUUCCUAAAAUACAAAGACACAAAAUGAGUGAUGAUUCGUGCCAGUUUCAAUAUGCUAGCAUGAGCAGCUAAGUUUGUACCACCAAAACCAUGGAAGGGCCAAGUCCUCACAAAAUAGGGCACGUGUCUUGACUAAUUUCAGAAACACAUGCAGAUAUUUAAGUAGUUAUUUGACAGGUGGUGUAUCUGUGUGCGCAUGUCACGUGAACUUCCAAAAUCCACGCAUGGUGCGGCUGGCAGAGUUCUUAGUUCAGGUGAGUCUGGCGAAGAGAUACCAUGCGAUGUGUGGAUUUUGGAAUUUCAGGCAACUUUUGCUAGUACAAUUAUUAUGGUUCAGAGUAGAACGAAAAUUUUGACCAAAAUAAGAAGAGCAAAGUGGAAUACGUGGUAGGGAAGCCGAACAUGGUGUAUAAAUGCAGCCUGGGAACAUGUGUCAUGCUAAUUCUCUAAACCUGUUAAAGGAAUACCGAUUGAAUAUAGCAGGAGCACAGCAUACAGAACUUUCAAAUAGUUUGGAAGGCACAAACUUAUAUCCAUCCAAAAUCCCCAAACUGUUGACACACUUGAGUGGAAUUGCACUGUAACAUCCCAAAAUUUUCAAAUUUGGAAUGUUAUUUAUUUUAAUAGGAUUAAUUAAAACUUGCUUGUGUUGCUUGCUUUUAGUUAAUUUUGACUAGGAUGUGCAUUUUCUUGGAGUUAAAUGAAUGUUCAAAUGAAAGGGAAUAAAAGGAUUUUCCCAAAAGUUUAUUUUUGGAUUUUAAAUUGGGUCUUUACAAAUAUUCAAAACAAUCACGAGAGGCGAUAAUACGACUUCUUCAAAAUAAUAGGUUGCAAAUACUUUAAUUUUUUUUGGCUAUUUAUUUGGACUUAGAAAAUAUUUACGGAAUUGUCUAGAACCCUAAAUUAAUUUUAAGGAAUAUUGAUAAAGCACAAAAUGUAGCUUAUAGAAAUAUUAUAUGUGGUAUAUUUAAUAUUUGAGGUGGAAAUAUCUUUUCUGUGCUCUAUAUUAGUAAUUAUAGUUUUGUAAUAUUUCUGAAAGUGAUUUGGUAUUUUAUUUAACCAGUCAAUUUCCUAUUAUCUAGUAAUAAGAAAACAGUCCAACACUAUGCGCGCAGCACAGGCAUGCCUCUCUCUCUCUAUCCUUUAACUGGGCUGAGCCCACUGUCCUUCUCCCUUUUUUAUUUUCUUUCUAUCGGGCUGCUUGCUGCUGGCCCAACAGUAUCCCGAGCUCAUGUAGGCUCGUUGCUUUCCUUCCUUCUCAGGAAAUCUUGUAAGAACACGAUGUGCCACCGCCUUGUUUUCUUUCAUGCAAGCCACGCAUAUCCAUCUCUCCUCCACCAAUAAAUAUUUGACCAUGUACUACUUUUGUCCCUUUUUUCGGCACCUAAACAAUCUGUAGCCGCUCCAUUGUCUUCUCAGCACAGCCGAAACCCAGCGCUUCCUGGACAGGAGAUUCAACGAAUCGACCUAAAAAACUUCAUCGGAUAGGGAGGACUUCAAUACGAAGAAGUUUCUCCUCAUCAAGACAAAUCCAUUCAGAGAAAGAAAUUCAUGUUUCGUCAAUCAUAUCUCUCCAAUUUUGUAAUCUAGUUCAGAGGUAUUUCCACACGAAUUCAUCAAAUUUGUUGCACUUGUUUGUUCUUUUUCAAAUUCCUUCUACGAGUAGCUUCAAAUCAACGAUCUACACAAUGUUUAUGCUGAAACUUUUCUGUUUGGGGCAGUUGGAUCUAUCUAGUUCGAGCCAACCUACACCAGAGCCAUCUAAAUUUCAAAGAUGGUGCACUUCCGGCAAAAUCGAGGAUAUUAUCAUGAUCCGUUUCACGAGGCACAUCCACUUAUGUCAUUCAUUCAAAACAGGCAUUUUUCAACUGCAAAUCCAAUCCAGAGGCCUGCCGUCCACUUUCCCAGCAAAAUUUCUCUUUGCUCCAUUUUGUCAACAAGAGAUUAUCUAUAUUAUUGAUCCAAAUCAAUGUGCUUUGUAUCUACACCGUAAGAGUUCCAUCUAUCAUAUUCCUUUUGAAUAUCUAUAUUAUAUAAUGUUUGUUGUUCAUUUGGUUCUUUAUUUGAAUUUCGGGUCUAUUUGAUUGCAAUCACUUCCAGUAUAAAUCGCGAGUAAAUUCCGGAGAGCAUUACUACAUCAACGAGAUAUUAAUUCUUCAUCGGCCAAAAGCAAAUUCUCUUCUGACGAUACACAUCCUAUAUUUACUAUGCAUUUCCUUGUCGCCAUAUGUGUGUACUGUUUGUAUUAUGUAAUAUCAUGCUUAGCCUUGUUAUGGUAGACGUGGUUUGGGUGCCGAGUGACUCAUGGAAAUGGUGGGUGUAUGUUCAUAGCUGUAGGCGAGAAUGCGCCAUUGACAAAGCGCACUUGAGGUGAAAGAGUAGUUUCGGGACUUAUCAGGUGAAUGCGUCCUUGGCGGAGCGCUCUAGAGUUCCUAGAGAAUGCGCCUGUUAUGACCGGCAUCACUUAUAGCCGAAGGAGGCCCAAUGGCGCGUCUAGUUAGGGGCAUAGCCCAACUUAUCUUUAUUUUUAUUAGAACCUCAAGGAUUAGAUAAACACUUGUAAGGCCACGUUUUGGAAUUAAGCAAUAAGUCAUAACUAUUGCCUGGCUCCCUUUAGGAGCCGGAACCCUAACCCUACCCGCCUCCUGCGCCAUCUCGUCCUCCACAGCGCGACCACGACGCCGUCGCGCCAAGCUCCUCGCCACCCUCCCUUCCACCCCUACAACCUAAGAGCUAGGCCUGGUAGGAUCCCAGCUCCUAUCAAUCUGAUAUCAGUUGUCUCGGGAUCGGUCAUGUCUACAUCUCUUCCCACCGCCACGCUCCCGCCGCCGACCACCACCACGCCACCGGCCACCUCCGCGGCUGGGGCGCCGUCCUUGUCGGGCCCGAUGUCCUCUUCCGCCUGGACGCCGCCGAUCGCCACCCCCGUCGUCUUCACCCCGGAGGAGAUGACGGCUGCCCUCUGAAACCUCACCCAGGCGGUCGCGGGCAUCCACACCUUCCUCGCGAGCCCCUACGGGCCGCAGCCGCCUAGGCCCUUCGCCACCGCACCGCAGUUGCCGCCGUGGCAGCCGCCCCCCUCGGCGACCCCCUUCGCCUCCGCCGCGCAGCAGCCGCCACCCGCGGCGCACAUCGGCGCCUCCACCAUGCAGCAGCAGCAACAGCCCUCCAUCGCUCCCACCAUGGCGCUGCCGCCACCGCUACCGGCAACCUCGACCCAGGGCGCCCCAACGACGGCUCAGGGGGUGCCCAUCCACCAGGUUUGGUUCCCUCCAUCGCCAUCACUGCUACCGGCCUGGCUCGCCGGGUCCCUCGAGCCUGUCUACACGACGGCCUCCGGACAGCCGCACGUGCUGCCCCCGCCGGUGCCGCCCUCGGCCAUCCAGUUCGGUGGGCCCUCAGGCUCCGCUGACCCCUACGCCGGCGUCAACGAGCCCUUGUUCCAGGGUGGCCCUCUGAAGCUCACCUACUCGGCGGCGGCGUCCUCGCUGCUCCGCACCGAUGAGGUGUACCCCUCCGUCGUCCACGGCCAGACGCCGCCGCGCUUCUCCAAGCUUGAGUUCGCCACCUACGACGGCAUCGUGGACCCCUGAAUUGGCUCAAUCAGUGCGGCCAGUUUUUCAGGGGGCAACGCACGCUCGCGUCCAACCGCACCUGGAUCGCCUCCUAUCACCUCCGAGGCGCUACACAGACGUGGUAUUACGCCCUCGAGAAGGACGAGGGCAGCAUGCCCCCAUGGGAGCGUUUCCGCGAGCUUUGCCUCUUACGCUUCGGGCCGCCGAUACGCGGGAGCCAGCUGGCGGAGCUUGGGCGCCUACCCUUCACCUCUACGGUGCAGGACUUCGCCGAGCGCUUCCAGGCCCUGGCGUGCAACGCGCCCGGCGUGACGGCUCGCCAGCGGGCCGAGCUCUUCGUUGGCGGUCUGCCGGAUCAUAUCCGCCUGGACGUGGAGAUGCAGGGACCACAGGACCUCCAGACGGCCAUGUACUAUGCCCGCGCCUUCGAGCGUCGCGUGGUGGCCAUGCAGCAGGCGUCACCGUCCCGGGGCACCCGACAGCCCGCCCGGCCGCAACCAACACCACCAGCGUCGGGGCGUCCAGCCCAGGCCCCCGCGGCGCACGACGCGCCCCUUCCGUCGGCUCACCCCGGCCGAGCAGCUCGAGCGUCGCCGUCAGGGGCUGUGCUACCAGAUCAAAGUCAACAUGUCACUGAGACAAUUAUACCCCAUGAAGUUCUUCUCUUGCCAGAUCUUUUCCUGAUCUGUGCAGAGGGGUUCUUGGCCAUGCAUCACAAGGCUGAACUGAAUGGUUCACUCACAUGAAUCAAAAUCUGUAGGGGAGCCCCUAGUGUCAGCCACCUUUUUGUAGAUGAUUCAUUGCUGUUGAUGGAGGCAAAUUCAAGUAAUGCCCAAGAAGUUAACCGCAUUUUGAACGCAUAUGAAGUCUGCUCUGGUCAAGUGAUUAAUAAAGACUUAAGUCAUCUAUCUUGUUUGGUAGAAAAACGAAGGUACAACAAAAACAAGAAAUGAGGGACAUCUUGCAGAUCUCGGUUGUGGGUCUAUGAUGAAAAUAUCUGGGCGUUCCAACAUAUGUAGGGCAAGCGAAAGCGAAGGUUUUUGAAUAUGUGAAGAAAAGAAUUUGGAAAAAGAUCCAAGGCUGGAAGGAGAAGUCGCUUUCAAAGCCAGGGAAGGAAACCUUAAUAAAAGCCAUAACACAAACAAAUCUUGUUUACACCAUGGCUUGUUUUGACAUCACUAAAGACAUGUGUGAAGAACUGAAUCCCAUGAUUAACAGGUAUUGAUGGAAUCAAGUUGACAAGAAAAAUAAAGUGCAUUGGUUACGCUAGGCAAAAUUGACGAGAAUGAAGAACAAUCAGGGCCUGGAGGGAGCUCCAUGCUUUCAACCUAGCCAUGUUGGAAACGCAAGCGCUCAGGCUGCUUCAAAACCCUCUUCUUUAUGUGCACAAGUUCUCUCAGCAAGAUAGUACCCAGAUGGCUCGAUACUGGAGGCAGUCCCAACCUGUGGCCAUUCUUAAGGGAGUGGAACCUUUGAAAAAGGGGGUCAUUUGGAGAGUUGGCAGUGGUGAGCAUAUAUAAAUAUAUGGGACGACCCGUGGAUUCCAAGAAACAACACAAGAAAGGCCACCAGUCAUAAGGGAAAUAAUUUGAUCAAUAGAGUAAGUGACCUGAUUAAUCCUAUUGCGAACAGUUGGGAUGAGGAUUUGGUGUGCCGACUUCUGUUCCAGAAGAUGCAAGAAUCAUACUUAAAAUUCCAAUUCAAGAACACGUUGAUGACUUCAUGAGCUUGGCACUAUGACAGAGGUACUUUUCUGUUAAAUCUGCCUAUAGAGUAGCAAAAAAUAGUGCUGCCCGGGAAUCCAGAACAGGUCUAACAUCGCCCUCAAGUGCAAAUGAGGAACCCGGCGAAUUUGACCAGCAAAAAUUAUGGUCGUUCACCCUCCCAAAUAAAGUGCUUCACUUAUGGAGUCUACCUACAAACAGCUUACUAGUAUGGCAGAGCUACAAAGCAGAGGCAUGGAGGUAGAACCUCGCUGUCCUAUAUGUUUCAGAUUAGUAGAAGAGGGGGGACAUUCUUUUUUUUUAUGUGUAAGAAAGUCAAGGAGGAGUGGAGAAGUUUAAACCUGGAGCUGUCAGCAGCGCUAGUACUUCCAUGGAUAACGCCAACAGUGCUGAGAAGGAAGGAAGAUUCAAAGGCAACGCUCAUGGGCCAGCGGCGCGGCCCACUCGCGAGAAACGGCUUCCCCAGUGGCUUGCAAGCCCGAACUGGGCCCGAUAAGGGUGUAAUAGGCUAGCGUGUAUAAGUAGGUGAGCUGGGAAUUCUUCUUCCUCGGCUUGGCACUGGAUGAGGCUUCGGCCGGCACCAUUCUGUAAUUCGAAUCCGCUGUGAGGGAGGUUGGGAGGAACAGCUAUGAAUUCCACCUAAAUUCCUAGAUCGAUCUCAAACCCAUAGCUCGUAUCUUACAAUUGGCAUCAGAGCUGUUCGUCCUGGAGUUUCACCACCACCAGUACCCCACUCGAUUCAAGGAGAGAAAGCGAGAGGAAGUGAUGGAGGAUCUAUCGGAGGAAGGGCGCUCGAUCUACGAGUUGCUCAAGGGCGACAUGGCCGGAACCAUCAACAAGCAGCUUCGGGAGCAGAGGAAUGAUUUGGUUCAGGCCGUCCGCAAGAUGCUCGACGAAACAUCUGCCAGCUUGGAAGAGGUCAUCGCCAAGCAAGUCGACACAAUUCGGGAGGAUCUCACCGGCGAGAUCAACCAGGUACGAGCCGAAAUUGAGAAGGUCAAGGAAAACAGACAGGAUCUGGGAUCAAGCCGCGCGAUUACGCCUAAGAGGCUGUUCUCUUGGCAUCCUCUUGUAGCCUCUUGGCAUCGUCAUGCAUAUGUAUAUAUAUUGGCAUUGGCCUCCUAAUAAUACAAGUCACUAUUCCAACAGAACACUCCUAUGAUAUUUCUGAUCGAUUCAGGGAGCACUCAUUCGUUCAUCAAUGACAAAUACAAAUAACUGUUUUCAGAUGCUAAGACUGUCAGACCAAUGAAGGUCACUAUUGCUAAUGGAGCCACUUCGAUCAGUGGACAAACCAUACCAGAGUGCAAGUGGAGCUGUGAUGAUCAUCAGUUUUCUAGUGAAUUCAUGCUCUUAGACCUUGGCAUGCAUGAUGGAAUAAUUGGUCUGGAUUGGUUGGCUACACACAGUCCUAUGCAAGUGAUUGGCAGCAGAAAUGGAUGGCCUUCCAAUAUCAAGGAAAACGAGUAACAUUACAAGGAACUGCUCCAGAAGAGUUUGCUCUCACAGUGCUGUCUAUUUGUAUAGACCUUCCAGAAGAGGAAUCCCAACAUCUGCCUGAAGAAAUUAAACAAGUCCUAGAGAAAUACUCAGAAGUUUUUGCAGCUCCUAAACAAUUGCCACCUAGGAGGCAUUGUGAUCACAGAAUUCCCUUAAUUCCUGGAGCUUGCCCAGUGGCAAAAAGACCUUACAGAAUUCCACCUCAUUUGAAGGAUGAGUUGGAAAAACAAAUUGCUGAAAUGCUGCAGUCUGGAGUUAUUCGGCCAAGUAGCAGCCCUUUUUCAUCCCCAGUUCUCAUGGUGAGAAAUAAGGAUGGCACUUGAGAAUGGUGGUAGACUACAGACACCUCAAUGCUCUUACUCUCAAAAGUAAAUAUCCCUUGCCUGUUAUUGAUGAAUUGUUGGAUGAAUUAUCUGGAGCUGCCUGGUUUUCUAAGCUUGACUUAAGAGCAGGAUACCAUCAAAUAAGACUAGCACCAGGAGAAGAAUAUAAGACUGCAUUUUCCACUCAUAAUGGACACUUUGAAUUCCUGGUGGUUGCUUUUGGUCUGACUGGAGGUCCUGGAACUUUCCAAGGCACCAUUAAACCCAUUAACUGUCGCUACAAUGGCGCACAAAGGGCUAUGCCACGUGGACAUGAAGGGAUGGCGAUGGCACUGUUCCACCUUUUCGUUUCGUUUGUCGUUGCCCCCACCACUCGUCGUUUCCUUCGACCAGAAGGAAGAGAUGGGGCGCUGUCCCAGAUACGGCCGCCCCGUUCCAACCCCCGCACGCGACCCUGCUUCCUCGUCGACCUCCCUCCUCUUCCUCCUCUCUCUCCCCUGCCGCCGCCGCUUCUCCUCCUCCCCCCCUCCCCCAUACUAGCCCUCCACCUGCCAUCCAUAGUGCCACAGGGCGGUCGGGUCAUCGGGGUGAGCAGCGGCGGGCAUUUGUGGUGUGUCGGGCGGAGGAGAUGAGGAGGGUGAGAAUGACGGCAGUGGGGGAAGGAGCAGCGAGGCCGGAGGAGCUCGUGCCGCCGCUGGUCAUGGAUGCGCCGCUGCAGCUCGUGUAGUGUCGACCUGAUAUUUUUCGUGGAAGCCCCUUCUCGCUCAGCUUGUUUCUUCUCCCUUUAGGAUUGGCUUUCUCCGCUUGGUGAGGGCCUACAGAAGAAAAGCUCCCAUGGGAGCUUCUGCCCAUACUCCGAGUUGAAUUUAUAGGUGAUGUAUAUCCAUGGAGACAAGGUGUUUGUAAAAUUGCCUGAGAGGGUUGUGUGGAUUUUACAAGUUGUUAUUGCUAUUACUGAUCUUCUAAAUUGUUUGUUAUUCCUUUCACCUAUUAUGUGGUUGCUUUUGAGGUGUUUUUUGGUUAUAUCAUGACGCAGGCUUAUCCAACGGCGGCGCUGCCUCUAGCAUCAGACACGGUGUGGCUGGUUGUUGUGUUUUACACCCACAGGAAGGCCCUUCGCUCAGGUACACAAGAUGCUUGACAACAUUCUGCACCUCAAUCUUUUUCAUGAUCUUUUCAUAGCUGGUUGGGUUUAGACAUAAGUCAUGGCAUGGCAGCUGGAGUUUCCUUGGAAAAUGGGCCUAGCCGUGAGGGGUUGUGGAAGGGUGCCCUCGACGAGCAGGACAGUACCACGUCCCUUGCUCAUCGGUCUGACUGACAUGACCAUCUUCAUAAAUGGGAUGGAGGUGAGUACCUGAAUUUUUGGACUCAUUUUGUAAAAUGGAUCGUGUUAACACUUGUUUAUAUGAAGCUACAAAGAGAUCGAUACUCACCAUUGGGAUUGAUGGAAAAUUGAAAUUAUGAUGUAUAUCUGCAUUGCCUGACCUUCGUACUCAUAUUCAAAUUAUACCACUAAAUUAAUGCUGAUACGAUAACCUGAUCUUUAAUGAGUGGGCUAGAAAUUCUAAGUAUUAUUUGUUUGAAAUAGCACUGAAUCGGCAAAAGAUUGUUUGCUUUGGCUGAAGAUAUACAAAUUUUCUCUCCCAUUUACUGGUCUGAUGUUUUGAGGAUUUUGAUAGUACCGAGCUUCCUUUCUUCAGGAGCAUAAGAUUAAGAAAAGAUAUUCGUUAUGUUUGGUACCUUACAGAGGAUGCAUUGCGCGAUGCUCUGCAGCAAGAUUUUACAGUCAUGAUUUAUCCGUAUUAGUAUGGAUUCUAAAACCUUAUAGGAAAAUGCCAUCUUUACAAAAUUAAACUAUGCCUGCAGAGCUGCUGAGGGAGGCCCUGUCAUGGACUGGCCGAGACUGUCGAGCAUCGUGUUGAAAAUCUUCAGAGGUACUUCUUUCACUCCUGCAAUCUAUGUGUGACUGUUUCUACAAGCUUAGAUUCAGUGAUUGGUUGUUGUCGCAUUCGCGUGGUGUCCAUCUGAUCCUGAGGUCGCGAUAUACUUUGUCAACCAAUGGAUGCUGGCCGAGGUCGCCCAGGUCGAGAGCGCGCCCACCGGCCUGAAGCUCAUCCACGAGCCCUGAACUCUCAAGGUCAGCGACGUAGAUGGGUGUCCCUACCAGUGGCUCUUCAAGAGAGAGGAGCAAGAACAUGAUGGCGGCGGGGUGUUCGGUCUGUGGUCCACUUCGAUGCGGGACGUGGAGGCGCGAUCCGACAAAGUCUCCCGAUGCUCCAACCACUGCUUCCCAUCAACGCCAAGGAGCAGUAGCCUCCGCAGGUCAGUGGUGGCACCCCCUGGUUUUUCCCAUACCCAGAUCUCGCUUGUAUGCCUGCACACGUAGUCUGCUGCUCUCCAUUAAUUCUCUCUCUCUCUCUUUUCUUAUGAGAAGGGUUAGAACUUAUGAUAUUGCUAAAUUGCUGUGGUUGUUUGAUAAAUGCGUCUACAUAUUCAAAGGUUUUGCAUUUCUCUGUUUUAUUUUUAGUUGUAUACUUUGUUGAAAGAAGAGAGGAAUUAAAAAUUAACUUCUAUUUUCUCUGAAUCGGGCUUGAUUUUUGGUACAGAUUCUAUGAUGAUUGAUGCAAAGUCCGUGCUGUGCUCCUAUGAUCGAGGAAUUUGCAGCAGGUCUGAUCCCUUGCGCGUGCUCCUCCGCUUGUCCUCACCCUCUCGACCCUCCCCUUGCUCAUCGCCAUCCAUUUUAUUCAGAGUGUAGAUGGCGGGCAAAACACCUAAGCUCCAGAGCAAGGAUGAAAGCACUCCAUACACACCCGCAAGGAUGAUGAUCCAUCUGUUUCUAGGAUGGUGGGACUUGAGGCAUGCACCAGAAUCAAGGAUCAGCUACUUGAUGAAAAUAUACAGGAGACUCUCCUACUCAACAUGACGUUAAAAAAAGAAUCAAGGAUCAGUUCAAUGGGAAUUGGAAUGAUGAAAACACUUGUUUGAGCACAUGUGAUCCUCAUAAUAGCAUAUUUGUAAUAAAUCAUUGUAGUCAAAACACUUUUUUUUAUAAUUAUGUAGUCAAAUUACUUAUGGGCUGUUUGGUUUGAGACUAAGUUUGCCUAAGGUUGCCACACCUAAGGUUAGGCAAGUUUGACCAGUUUAGGUGGGUGUUUGGUUCAAGCCACACCUUAGGCAAGCCACACUAGGGUCCCACAUCACAUACUCUCAAAAAGUGUGGCAAGAUUCCCUUAGGCUUGCCAACUUGUGGCUCUCAUUUUGAAGAACUAACCUUAGGCAAGUAUGGCAACAUUGUAUGGCAAAGUGUGGCAUGGCUAGGCCUAGAACCAAACAGCCCCUUACUCUUGUGUAUAAGUGCCAUUAAGGAUCAACCUAAACCUGCGGAGGUGCAUAAACUAGAUAAGUGCGCACAUGAACGCUCAGGAGGCGUGCCAAUAGCACGCCCCAGCCACUAGUGAAUAUUGAUUUGUCCCCUGUUCUCAGGAAGUAUGCAGUGUGCUUCUUCGAUGACAUUCAUGUCUUCAGCAAGACUCUCAGAGAACAUAUUGAACACUUGUCUGCUGUAUUGCAAAUUAUGGAAGAAAACAACGGAAGGUUAAACUAAGCAAGUGUGAAUUUGCCAAACAGCAAGUAUCCUACCUAGGGCAUGUCAUUAGUGCUCAAGGAGUCUCUACUGAUCCCAGUAAAAUUACAGCUGUUGAUAAUUGGCCAACUCCCUCUAAUACCAAGGAAGUGAGGUGAUUUUUGGGUUUGACAGGAUACUACAGAAAAUUCAUCAAAUCAUAUGGAGUGAUCAGUAAACCUCUUUCUGAAUUGCUAAGGAAGGGUACAGUUUUUGUAUGGAAUCCAAUGGCUGAAGAAGCAUUCUCUACACUUAAGAAGUCCCUGAUCUCAGCUCCAGUUUUAGCCCUGCCAGAUUUUUCACAACCUUUCAUGAUUGAGACAGAUGCUUGUGACACUGGAAUAGGGGCAGUUCUAAUGCAAAAAGGGCAUCCUCUAGCCUUUGUGAGUAAGGCUUUAGGUCCAAGAAACAAAGGUUUGUCUGUACAUGAAAAGGAGUACAUGGCAAUACUUUUAGCUGUAGAAACUUGGAGGCCAUAUCUGCAAAUGCAGCAGUUUAUAAUCAAGACCGAUCAGAAAAGUUUGUCACAUAUAGCUGAUCAAAGAUUACACACUCCCUGGUAGCAUAAGGCUUACACAAAGUUGAUGGGUCUUGACUAUGAAAUUCAUUACAAAAAGGGGAAGUGAUAAUACAGCAGCUGGUGUCCUUUCCGGAAGCCUCAUCAAGCAGCCCAGUCAUUUGCAAUAUCUGGUGUUUUGCCAAGUUGGUUGCAGGAGAUAGCUCAAGGUUAUGCCUCUGAUGCUUCUACCAUGGACAUUAUUCAGCAGCUGGCUGUGGAUCCUAAAUAUAAACCCCCAUGUACAUUGAUUAAUGGUCUACUUAGACACAAAGGCUGCAUCUGGAUUGGUGAACAAACAUUGCUUCAGGACAAAAUAUUCCAGCCCAAUUGGGGGGCACUCAGGGUUCCCUGUUACAUAUAACAUAAUAUAUUCCCUGUUCAGUUGGAAAGGGAUGAAAAGUUACAUCAAACAGAGAGUCCAAUCUUGUUUAAUUUGCCAAAAGGCCAAACCAGAAAGGAUUAACUACCCAGGAUUGUUAUCUCCAUUGCCUAUUCCAAAGAAGGCUUGGGAAACUGUCACUAUGGAUUUCAUCUCUGGGUUGCCCAGUUCUGAAGCUUUUGAUUGUCUGAUGGUUGUCAUUGACAAGUUCACAAGAUAUGGUCAUUUUAUUCCAAUCAAACAUCCAUAUACUGCUCCUAUAAUUGCUGAGAUCUUCUUGGAGAAUGUGUAUAAGCUGCAUGGCAUGCCUGAGUUUAUUGUGUCUGACAGGGACCCAGUCUUUACCAGUGCAUUUUGGCAGCAUCUUAUCAAAAGAACAGGUGUUGUCUUGAAUAUGAGCACAGCGUAUCACCCUGAAACUGAUGGACAGACUGCGAGAGUGAAUCAGCAGAUAGAAUGUUUCCUCAGAUGCUUUGUUGGUGCUCAUCCCAAGAAAUGGAAAAAGUGGAUUUCCUUGUGUGAAUUAUGGUACAACACCAACUGGCAUUCAGCAGUGGAAAAACUCUGUUUGAAGUGCUUUAUGGGCACAGUCCUAGAUACUUUGCAAUCACUCCAUCUGAUACUAUUGAUCCACCAGAUGUCCAGCAAUGGCUAGAGGAGAGAGAAGUCAUCAAUCAGUCUGUGAGACAGCAUCUCCUUAGGGCCCAACAACGAAUGAAGAAUUAUGCAGUAAACAUCAAACUGACAAGCAGUUUGCGGUUGGACAGGAGGUAUUUCUGCAAUUGCAACCUUAUGUACAGUCCUCUGUUGUUCACAGGGCCAACCAUAAGCUGUCAUUUAAGUUUUAUGGACCAUAUAAGAUCUUAGAACAUAUUGGAGAGGUGGCUUAUCGAUUGGAACUUCCAGAAUCAAGCAAGAUACACCCAGUCUUUCAUGCUUCUGGUCUCAAGCAAUACAUAAAGCUUCCUUCUCAGGUACAAUCAUCACUUCCUUCUGAUCUUUCACUCAUUCAGAUUCCUGUGCGAGUGUUGCAACAGAGAAUCAGGCGCAAAGGGGACCGUACUGUUGCUCAAGUACUUGUGGAGUGGAGUAAUUCAUCGCCCCAGGAGGCCACCUGGGAGGAUACUGAUUCCUUGAAGCAAAAGUUUCCAAGAGCUCCGGCUUGGGGCGCUAGUACUUCCAUGGAUAACGCCAACAGUGCUGAGAAGGAGGGAAGAUUCAAAGGCAACGCUCCUGGGCCAGCGGCGCAGCCCACUCUCGAGAAAAGGCUUCCCCAGUGGCUUGCAAGCCCGAACUGGGCCCGAUAAGGGUGUAAUAGGUUAGCGUGUAUAAGUAGGUGAGCUAGGAGUUCUUCCUCGGCUUGGCACUAGAUGAGGCUUCGGCCGGCACCACUCUGUAAUUCGAAUCCGCUGUGAGGGAGGUUGGGAAGAACAGCUAUGAAUUCCACCUAAAUUCCUAGAUCGAUCUCGAAUCCGUAGCUCGUAUCUUACAGGAGCAUAUCAGGUUGCUUUUAGCUGGCUGUACCAGUGCUAUAAGCACCCUAGAACAGAUCCUUACAUCAUCAGAGGAGGAUAAAAUAAAAUCUUGCUCGCUCCUUUGGAGCUGGCGGAGUGAACGCCAUAAGGCAAACUCGGGCGAAGGCCCCAUCUCGCUUGAGCAUAUUUGCUCUUCUGUUAAUUAUCAUCUUAUGAAUGUAAUGGAGAACAAAAAGACUGCUAAAGGGCAAAAGCAGCAGCUAAACCACAAAUUGUCUCGGCCACCGGCUGGGAUUCUCAAGAUUAACACUGAUGCCGCUUUCCACAGGGACUCCAACUCUGGCGGCUGGGGACUCAUUAUCAGAAAUGACCAAUGCAAGGCGAUGGCUGCAGGUGCGGGUAACGGAAACCUUGGCAUUGUUAUAUGCUAUUAAAAUGUCGAUGGGGCGCGACAGAGUAAUGUUUGAAACUGAUUCAAUGCAACUGAUGAGGGCAGUGAACUCUGAAGUCUAUGAUCUAGCGGAACUAGGAGCAAUUGUCUGUUUGUUUGGGGUUUUUUUUUGCUGGGUUAUGAGCAAUUGUCAGUAGUAUCAAAUUCCAGCUGCGUGUGGGCUUUUCAGCUGUAAGCGUUGUGUCCAGCCCUCGGGCAUAUGCUGGUGCAUGGUUUAGCUGCGCAUGGAACUACUUUGGAAGCUGGUCUGUGUGAGACUUUGUUGGGCCAACUCCCAGGAUUUGCACUGAACCAUGUAGCUGGCGAUUUGCCCAGCACUAAUAUGUAACUACGUAACGGAAUGCACGGCAUGUUCCUUUCAAAAAACAAAAAACAGUUUGGACACAGCCAUGCCUUGCAAGAAGCGACACAAGAUUCACCCAAUAGCAAUAGCCAAUAGAUAAUAGAUAGAGAUACGAGUAGAAGAAGAAGAAGAAGAAGG